rnacentral:rRNA from 1 species
GCGAAGCACUUAAGUGGAUCUCUUCGGAUUGAAACUUAUUUGACUGAGCGGCGGACGGGUGAGUAACGCGUGGGUAACCUGCCUCAUACAGGGGGAUAACAGUUAGAAAUGGCUGCUAAUACCGCAUAAGCGCACAGGACCGCAUGGUCUGGUGUGAAAAACUCCGGUGGUAUGAGAUGGACCCGCGUCUGAUUAGCUAGUUGGAGGGGUAACGGCCCACCAAGGCGACGAUCAGUAGCCGGCCUGAGAGGGUGAACGGCCACAUUGGGACUGAGACACGGCCCAGACUCCUACGGGAGGCAGCAGUGGGGAAUAUUGCACAAUGGGGGAAACCCUGAUGCAGCGACGCCGCGUGAAGGAAGAAGUAUCUCGGUAUGUAAACUUCUAUCAGCAGGGAAGAAAAUGACGGUACCUGACUAAGAAGCCCCGGCUAACUACGUGCCAGCAGCCGCGGUAAUACGUAGGGGGCAAGCGUUAUCCGGAUUUACUGGGUGUAAAGGGAGCGUAGACGGAAGAGCAAGUCUGAUGUGAAAGGCUGGGGCUUAACCCCAGGACUGCAUUGGAAACUGUUUUUCUAGAGUGCCGGAGAGGUAAGCGGAAUUCCUAGUGUAGCGGUGAAAUGCGUAGAUAUUAGGAGGAACACCAGUGGCGAAGGCGGCUUACUG